rnacentral:rRNA from 1 species
GUGUCAGCAGCCGCGGUAAUACGUAGGAUGCAAGCGUUAUCCGGAAUUAUUGGGCGUAAAGAGUUUGUAGGUGGUUUGUUAAGUUAAAUGUUAAAUCUCAGGGCUCAACUCUGGGGCUGCAUUUAAUACUGGCAGACUCGAGGUAUGGAGAGGUAAGCGGAAUUAGUAGUGUAGCGGUGAAAUGCGUAGAUAUUACUAAGAACACCAAUGGCGAAGGCAGCUUACUGGCCAUAUCCUGACACUGAGAAACGAAAGCGUGGGGAGCGAACAGGAUUAGAUACCCUGGUAGUCCACGCCGUAAACGAUGAUCACUAGCUGUUCGGGGAGUCGACCCCCUGAGUAGUGUAGCUAACGCGUUAAGUGAUCCGCCUGGGGAGUACGGUCGCAAGGCUAAA